rnacentral:lncRNA from 1 species
UUCUUUGGAUUUUUUUCAGCCACAGCAACUGGAUUCUCUUUUCUGAUUUUUGCUUCAUCUUUUGCUUUGUAAUCAUAUGGACAGUUGUGCUUCUCGGAGUAAUGGUGAAGUCCACAAAACAAAUUUCCACAUCAGCAGUCAAACCCUGUAAGGCCAAACUUUCUUUCUGCACAUAAAACAUCUCUUCUUUGGUUUCAGCAACCCAGGAGCUUUUGCUUCACUUUGAGAAGUACUGGACUGAGAAACUGAUGGACUGGGCUGAGUGACAACUGGGUCUGAUACCUCUGUUUUGGAGGUAUUUAUUUCGUCCUCUCGAAAUGCUCAUUUCUGUCAUUUGGUGAGUUACAGGCAAGGCAGCCACCGCCCAUUCCUUGAUUUUUCAGAUAUGCUGCCAGCAGCACCUUCGCAGUUGUUUAAACUAGUCUCUGCUUUCUGUACAGUAGCAGAAUCUGAGGUAGGACUGUUGGAACCACUAGACUUACUGGGCUCAUUCUGCCACUAUUUCUGCUG